UAGCAAGCCUCCAGCAAGCUUGGGUCUACAGUGACCCUGCGCAUUCCUACUGUGCUUGCCAGAACAGUUUUGGAAUAGUUUGAGGUGGUGCCCUGCUCUCUCCAGAGAAAGAUUACAGAAAUUUCAGACAAUU
rnacentral:snoRNA from 1 species